rnacentral:rRNA from 1 species
UGGGGAAUAUUGGACAAUGGGCGCAAGCCUGAUCCAGCCAUGCCGCGUGAGUGAUGAAGGCCCUAGGGUUGUAAAGCUCUUUCGCCAGGGACGAUAAUGACGGUACCUGGAUAAGAAGCCCCGGCUAACUUCGUGCCAGCAGCCGCGGUAAUACGAAGGGGGCUAGCGUUGUUCGGAAUCACUGGGCGUAAAGCGCACGUAGGCGGAUCUUUAAGUCAGGGGUGAAAAUCCCGAGGCUCAAACCUCGGAACUGCCUUUGAUACUGGGGGUCUCGAGUCCGGGAGAGGUGAGUGGAAACUGCGAGUGUAGAGGUGAAAAUUCGUAGAUAUUCGCAAGAACACCAGUGGCGAAGGCGGCUCACUGGCCCGGUACUGACGCUGAGGUGCGAAAAGCGUGGGGAGCAAAACAGGAUUAGAUACCCUGGUAGUCCACGCCGUAAAACUAUGGAUGCUGGCCGUUGGGCAGCUUGCUGUUCAGUGGCGCAGCUAACGCUUUAAAGCAUCCCGCCUGGGGAGUACGGUCGCAAGAUUAAAAACUC